GACGAACGCUGGCGGCGUGCUUAACACAUGCAAGUCGAACGGAGAGGGUUGGUAUUUUUGGGCUAUUCGAGUGGCGAGCGGGCGGGUGACACGCGCGUAAUCUGCCCUCCACUUCGGGGUAAACCAGGGAAACAGGGGCUAAUACAUACCAGAAACACUCUAUUCACGGCAUUGGGGCUAGAUUUACGGUGUGGGCUGAUGUUGCGGCAUAUCAGCUUGUUGGUGGGGUGUUGGUGUAGCAAGGUGUGGAGGGGUAGCCGGACUGAGAGGGUGAACGGCCGCAUUGGGACUGAGGUAGGGGCCGGAGUCCUACGGGAGGCAGCAGUGGGGAAUAGAGCACAAUGGGCGGAAGCCUGAUGCAGCGACGCCGCGUGGGGGAUGACGGCCUUCGGGUUGUAAACUCCUUUCGCGUGGGACGAAGCGAAAGUGACGGUACCUGGAGAAGAAGCACCGGCUAACUACGUG
rnacentral:rRNA from 1 species